CCACCAAGAUAUUAUUGCCUCAUGCAACAGCUAAUAUUGACUGUCAACUUGACAGGAUCUAAAAUCAUCAAAGAAAGAAGCCUUUGUACAGGGCUAUGAGGGGUUAUCUAGAUCAGUUUAGCAGAGGUGGCAGAACCAAAGAAGAAAACAGAAGAGCAUUCAUUGCUCUCUGCUUCCUGACUAUGGACACGCAUGACCAGAUACCUCAAGCUCCGGCUACCAUGACUUCCCACUAUGAUGGACAGUAUCCUCAAACUGCCGUUGGAAGCAGUUUGCAGAGAGUAUGAAACUUGACUGAAAGCCCUUGAAUACCUUAAGCAGAGCUUAACAGGCUAUUCUGGUGGGAGCCUGGGAAGAGGAGACUGCUUAGAGAAGAGAAACAAGACAGUAGCAACCAGGCUCAGGAAGUUUCAGAAGGGAAAUACUGCCCCAUUCACGUGACACUCUGAAAAACGCUGCUGCAUUCUGCUCUUGAAUAUUUGAAUUUAAAAGCACUGGACUAAUUUCUUCGGCAGACGGUAGCACAGUUACAGCUCUUACUCAGAUCUACGGUGACAGAGCAAAUAACCAAAUGAGAAAUUUGGUAAAGAAAGUUUCCGUAAGCAAGUUUAAAAUUGCACAUAAGGAGGCUGCCUACAACAAAGUGUGCUGGCCCGUUUAAUGUCAACUCAACACGAGCUAAAGUCAUCUGAGAGGAGGGAACCUCAACUGAGAAACGACCUCUGUAAGAGGGUGGGCAAGCAGGUAGGGCAUUUUCUUAAUUAGUGAUUGACACUGGAGGUGUUAGCCCACUGUGGGUGGGACCACCCUGAGAUGGCACUUUAUGAGAAAGAAAGCAGGCUGAGAAAGUCAUGAGGAACAAACCAAUAAGCAGCACCUCUCCACCACCCCUGCUUCAGCUCCUGCCUCCAGUUUCCUGCCCUGAAGGACUGUUAACGUGAAGUGUAAACAAAAUAAAAGCUUUUCCUUUCCAAGUUGCUGUUGGUCCUGAUAGUUCAGGACCAAAGUCCCAACAAGUUCUGAGAGACGACUGUGUGAAGUUACAAAAGUGAUGCCUAAACCAGGAAUUAUAAUGAAUGCCUUUAAUCCUAGCAACACUCAGAAGGAAAAGGGCAAGGCCUCUGUGAGUUCAAGGACAGCCUGUCCUACAAAGUGAGUUCCAAAAUAGUCAGGGCAGAGAAUCCUUGUCUGGAAACAACAUCAACAACAAACCAACCAAACAGACACAAAAGCCUGAGUUGCACUGGAGACCCCGUAUAUGGAGAAGCUAAAAUAAUGGAAUGUCUGCUGGGGAAGCGCCAGGCAUAGAACAGCGCUGGCUCAAAGGAGGGGCUGCUGCACCACCGUACAGGCGGCAUGGGAGAGCAGGUCUAGACCCAGCUUUCUGAGGCCCAGAUGAUUCCAUCACAAGUUCCAGAUGGCAGACAUGAACUCCAUGAUACAGUGUUUUCCUUGCUGAGUUUGGAUCUUGCUUUGUUCUCAUCUUUCCUUGCAACACCCUCAUUUCCUUCCUUUUGAAAUGAGAAUGUUUACUUGGUAUCACUGUAUGUUGGAGUAUGUAAUUUGUGUUUUGUUGUUCAAGAACUCACAGUUAAGAGAUUGCCUGAGUUUCUGUACAAAAGGUGUUGGAACUGCUAAAGAAUAUGAGGUCUUUUAAAGUUAGAGAAUGUAUUUUUGCAUUGUGAGAUAGCCAUGAUCCUAUAGAGACAAGGAGGGGAAGGCUAUGGCUAAAAGUGAUGUGUUUGAGUUCAAAAGGGUUAGCGUUGUAAUAGUAAUGAUUCUGCACUGACAGAAUCUAAAAACAAGGAGACAAGACUCUAGAUUCCUCUGCUGCAUUAUCUGAUUAGGUUAACUGAUGUAGAAAGACCCACUUUCUAUGUGGGUGAGCCCAUUUCAGGGGUUCAGACUCCAGACCGCAGGAAUGAAGGAAAAGUUGUUUAUAGUAGGCAACAAAGAAUGCAGAAACUAACAACUGGUCAAAGUGCAGAGAACAGGACCUAAUAAGUAGACUACUUCCGCCCUGGUGCAGGGGCAGUCACUGAAAAGAAAGAGAAAGAAUGGAAGUGCCAAACAACAAGGAAGAGUAAUAUGAAAUCCUGUGUUCUGGAUGUGACACAGCCGUAACGCUCAUAAAGUAACACCUGUGGCUACCUAAAUAAGAGCGCACAAGAUGGGGUAUGGAGGGUCGGGAGUGCUAUUUUAAAUGUUCAGUGAUGCAGCCAGUAGUAACUGGUCUAUAGUCCCUCAAGCUCAGGCAAGCACUCAGUGGGUCACCAAACCAAAACCAAAACCUUAUCAGUAAGAGGGAAACUUGUUGGGAAGGAGUUGAAUCAGAGUAGAAAGGAGAUGAGCAAGGAUAACAGACAAUUUACUUGAGCAAAGUUUAGUCUUCAAUAUACAAAAACCAAAAUUAAACUUGAAGAAUGCUAAGACUGAAGGAGUUAUGGAUUCUUUCUCUGCAAUUACAGAACAUUCAUCACUUUGCUUUCUGACUUUGGAUACAAUAUACCAACUGCUUGUCUCUUAGUGCCUGCAGCUAUAACUUUCCCAUCAUAUGGACUGUGCUCUCAAACUAUAAGCUAAAAUAAAUCCUUUCUUCCUUAA